ACAAUGGCAUAUACAAAGAGAAGCGACCUCGCGAGAGCAAGCGGACCUCAUAAAGUAUGUCGUAGUCCGGAUUGGAGUCUGCAACUCGACUCCAUGAAGUCGGAAUCGCUAGUAAUCGUAGAUCAGAAUGCUACGGUGAAUACGUUCCCGGGCCUUGUACACACCGCCCGUCACACCAUGGGAGUGGGUUGCAAAAGAAGUAGGUAGCUUAACCUUCGGGAGGGCGCUUACCACUUUGUGAUUCAUGACUGGGGUGAAGUCGUAACAAGGUAACCGUAGGGGAACCUGCGGUUGGAUCACCUCCUUA
rnacentral:rRNA from 1 species